GCUAAUCUCAGCUACCAAAGAAGCUGAGGCUAAUUGAUCUCUUGAGUUUGGGAAUUCCAAGCUACAGUGUAUAUGCUAAUCAGGUAUCCUCCCUAAGUUAAGCAUUGAUAUGGUGGGCCCCAAGGAAUAGGGGGCCACCAAAUUUCCUAAGAAGAGUGAACUGGCCCAGGCUGUAAACAGAACAAGUCAAAGCUCCCAUGCAGAUCUGUAGUGAGAUUGGAACUAUGAGUAGUUCCUGUCUCUAGUCUGAAUACAUAUACACAGUCACCUCAU
rnacentral:SRP_RNA from 1 species